GACAGAGGGUGCAAACGUUGUUCGGAAUUACUGGGCGUAAAGCGUGUGUAGGCGGCCUUAUAAGUCGGAUGUGAAAGCCCAGGGCUCAACCCUGGAAGUGCACUCGAUACUGUAAGGCUCGAGUACUGGAGGGGUUGGUGGAAUUCUCGGUGUAGAGGUGAAAUUCGUAGAUAUCGAGAGGAACACCGGUGGCGAAGGCGGCCAACUGGACAGAUACUGACGCUGAGACACGAAAGCGUGGGGAGCAAACAGG
rnacentral:rRNA from 1 species